GCAGCCGCGGUAAUACGUAGGGGGCAAGCGUUAUCCGGAUUUACUGGGUGUAAAGGGAGCGUAGACGGUGUGGCAAGUCUGAUGUGAAAGGCAGGGGCUCAACUCCUGGACUGCAUUGGAAACUGCCAGACUUGAGUGCCGGAGGGGUAAGCGGAAUUCCUAGUGUAGCGGUGAAAUGCGUAGAUAUUAGGAGGAACACCAGUGGCGAAGGCGGCUUACUGGACGGUAACUGACGUUGAGGCUCGAAAGCGUGGGGAGCAAACAGGAUUAGAUACCCC
rnacentral:rRNA from 1 species